rnacentral:tRNA from 1 species
AGUUACUUGGCUGAUCGGAAAGCUCGUGUUUUGAAAGCUCGUAAUAGAGGUUCGAAUCCUCUAGUAACUU